rnacentral:rRNA from 1 species
UCCAGACUCCUACGGGAGGCAGCAGUGGGGGAUAUUGCACAAUGGGGGAAACCCUGAUGCAGCGACGCCGCGUGGGUGAAGAAGUAUUUCGGUAUGUAAAGCACUAUCAGCAGGGAAGAAAGAAGACGGUACCUGACUAAGAAGCCCCGGCUAACUACGUGCCAGCAGCCGCGGUAAUACGUAGGGGGCGAGCGUUAUCCGGAUUCACUGGGUGUAAAGGGAGCGUAGACGGCCGUGCAAGCCAGGAGUGAAAGACCGGGGCCCAACCCCGGGACUGCUCUUGGAACUGGGCGGCUGGAGUGCGGGAGGGGCAGGCGGAAUUCCUGGUGUAGCGGUGAAAUGCGUAGAUAUCAGGAGGAACCCCGGCGGCGAAGGCGGCCUGCUGGACCGCGACUGACGUUGAGGCUCGAAAGCGUGGGGAGCGAACAGGAUUAGAUACCCGAGUAA